rnacentral:lncRNA from 1 species
AGGAAAACAGGGGCAAGCAAUAAAGAAGAAGCAAAUUAUAAUCAUGGCUUCUAUAGCUGAUCGGGAAGAAGAGACAAAUAAUUUUUCAUAUGCAAUGGAACUGGCAAGUGCCAUAGUGCUACCUGCAGCUAUGCAAGCAGUGGUAGAGCUUGAUGUGUUUGAGAUCAUAAGCAAAGCCGGUCCUGGUGCUAAGCUUUCGGUUUCGGAAAUUGUGGCUCAAAUUCCCUUAAAAGAUAAUAAUCCUGAAGCUGCAGCCAUGAUGUUAGAUCGGGUGCUGAGGCUUACGUUAUUGACUUAAUUAACGAAUAGACCCUAGUGAAUAGGAAUAUCAAUUAAUUACAAAUGAAAAAAAUUUGCUGAGGAGUCCGAAUUUGAUGUACAUGAUAGCGAAGUCCACAUAACUCAAUUAAUUGUUUAAGUAACUGGGAGUUUUAUAAUUGGGAUAACGUGUAGUUUGAUAUUGUAAGUUACAAUCGUAAAAUAUUUAAUAAAUUUUUGAUGUUGUAAUUUAAACGUUAAGUUGAAUUUAUCACAUACUUAUAUGUAAAAAAAAACCUAUAAUAUAUUUUUGUCUUUUUUGUUAAAAUUAUUUGUUACAUAUUUUUUACUUUUAUUUCAUUUAUAUAUGUGUGUGUGUGUCAAAACACCUCAAUCUGAAACAUGGUCUUAAUUAAUAAAACAUUGUCAUUUUAUUAAUUAAUAAAACACCUCAAUACCUAGCAAGUAGCAAGCCACACAUGAUUUUAUUUUGUAUAUAAAAAUUUGACACUCUUUAAUAUUGUGUUUUUUCGUUUAUGUUUAUUAUGAGCUCGACUUUUUGUUUAUGAAAAUUUGACAUUCUGUAACUUUGGCGGGUUGGUAAGUGUAUAAUGAGCUACACUUAUUUAUUUAUUUGGAAAAAAGACACCUAUUUACAUUUGAGAAAAUAGUCAUAAAGACAUCUAAAUUUUUAAAAAGGGACUCCAAAUCUCCUUUUUAACUAUAAUAUCCUUUGAUUUAGUAAUUAAAAAGUUGACUUAAAUUUUUUUUAAUUAAUACAAAUUUAAUAUAAGUAAUAUAAUCUAUCUAGUACACUAAUAAUAUUAAAUUAUUUUUAACGUUUAAUAUAAUAUUAAAAAUUUAAAUUAUUACAUUUAUUUUAAUAAUACAUUUGCAUUUAUUAUAUAGAUUUUAAAAAUCUCUGUAUUAAAUAUAUUUUGCAAUUAACAGAAUAUAUCCCUAUUAAUAAUAUUAAUAUUAUUUUUUACAUAAUAUUUGAAAUAAUUUUAAUCUUUUAUUCUAAUAUUAUGUUUCUAUAUAUUAUUAAAAAUUACUUUAAUUAUAAUAUAAUUGGUCUAAUAUAUUGUAAAAUAUAAAAAUAUUUUAUAAAUAUUAAAAAUAUUUUCAAAUGUUGAUAUUAUUACAUUUAUUUUAAUGGCAUAUUUCUAUUUAUUAUAAAAUCUUAAGGUCAAUUAUUUUGGUUUUAUAAAGUCAAAAGGUAUUAUGAUAAAAAAGGGUUCUUGGUGUCCGUUAUUGAAAACUCGGGGUCCUUGUAAUCAUUUUCCAAAACCGUGGGGGUGUAGGUGUCCUUUUCCCUAUUUAUUUUUAUAAAAAUUAAGGUUUUUUUUUUUUUUUAAAGCAAGAAAUCUAAUGAAUUAAUUCUUCAAAGAGUGUGAGGAUCAAAAACUUACUCUAUGGUUAUUGCUAAAUAUGAAAUAAGAUAAUUGACAUAGUUGUUAUCUAGUAUUAUAUCGAUCCCAAAUUAAUAGGUUCAAACAAAUAUUUUGUUUCAGUUCAAGAAAUUUUACUAAUUAUAUAUGUUAAGAAUUACUAAUUUACAUGUUGUGUUAAGUUUUUGGACAGAGAAAACUAAGGUAGUAUAUGUUCUUUUAUCUAAAAUCUAGAUGGAUUUGAAUGUAAUUGAAGUCUGAAUGAAUCUGAAUGCAUAUGUCAGAAUAACAUGUUUGUUUUUUAUUUUUUGACAUCUAGUGUAACGGUAAAUUGUUAUCUAUUUUUAUAAACUCAAAAUAUUUUAAAUCCAAUAUUUUUAUACUUAUGAUCUUGAAAGUGUUAUAUAUACCUGAAAUUUUUAAUAGGUAUAUAUUUAUAAUGUUUUCUUAACUAAAUAAGUUCAUGCAAUUGAUUGUUAUUAUUAUUGAAUAACUGUUUUUAGGUUGCCUUUAUUAGUUUAACAACAAUGGUACUUCGUCAAGAGAAUGAGUUACCAUUAUUAUUAAUAGGUCGGCGGCGACCAUUUUUUUUUCAUUUUUAGCUCACUGAUAAUUGACAUGGAAUAACGAUGUUUUAGAUAUAUACGAUAUAUUUUAGAUAAUCACACGUAUUUGUAUAUUUUAAAAUACUUAUCAUAAUGUCAAAUAUUUUUAUAUUAUUAUAAAUUGUUGAAAAAUUAUUUUAGAACAAUAUAAAAAUAUCUGUAUACAUGGUAGUCAAACAACAAUUUGAGCAUUGCUAUUAUUUUCCGAAAAUGUAGCUAAGUUUUCUGAAUGAAGAGUGUCCCUUGGAUUCGGUUGGAUUUUAUGCCGCACGACAGAAUUGCUGUGGCCGGAGGGUAAUGUUGUCGCAGUGGGCAAACAAUAAUUGACAUUUCACAUUCGGCUAUUUAUGAUGUAGGCCCAACUAUGUGUGUCCAACUUUGGAGGCUAUUAGGUAUAUGAUAUAUCCAAUUAAUAAGCUCCGCUUAUUUAUUUAUUUUUAUAAAAAUUCAGAUUUUUUUCCCCUAAAAAUAUCCGAUCGAUUCAUUCUUCAAAGAGUGUGCUUACUGCUAAAUAUACAAGAUGAUAGUUGGCAGUUAUUGUCUAGUAAUAUGUAGAUCCCAGAUUGAAUUUGAUUUAAAAUCCAGGAGCAUCGUUCCCGCAAAUGUUUCAUUUUAAAUUUUCUUUGUUUAAUCCAAUGGCAAAUAAAUUUUUCUCGCAUCCGUAUUAAUGGUUCGAACAAAUAAUUUUGUUUUCAGUUCAAGAAAUUUUAUCAAUUUUGUUAAUAAUUAGUACUCACAUAAUUAUUUACUUAUUUUUUUUUAUUUCUUCAAUUCUUAUUGUUUGAAUUAGUUUACAUGAUGAGUAGUGCAAUGUGUCCAUAUAUUAUUUAUGAAUGGUAAUUUAUCACUAAUACAGUGACAUUUCAUCCCGGAGUGGCUGUCCUUGUUGAUAAAUUGAAAUUAGCGCAAACCUUGAGGACAGGCAUGAAAAAAUGAGAACACGAGCAUGAUUGGUGAUGAGAUAUAAUAUAGAUGAACCCCUGCCUUGACUGAUUCAAUACAAAGGGAGGAAAAAAGAAGGAAAACAGGAGCAACCAAUUAAGAAAGAAGCAAAUUUAUAAUCAUGGCUUCUACAGCAGAUCAUGAAGAAGAGACAAAUAAUUUUUCAUAUGCAAUGGAACUGGCAAGUGCCAUAGUGCUACCUGCAGCUAUGCAAGCAGCGGUAGAGCUUGAUGUGUUUGAGAUCAUAAGCAAAGCUGGUCCCGGUGCUAAGCUUUUGGUUUCGGAAAUUGUGGCUCAAAUUCCCUUAAAAGAUAAUAAUCCUG